CAGUCAAAGUCGUCCUGACUGCAACUGCACCCGCGAACAUGAGCUGUCUGCUCCUUCCUCUCUUGGUCUUUCUGCCAUGUUUGGACGCUGUCACGUUGACCUCCUCCCCUGCACAGGUGGGCUCACCUGGAGGGUCGGUGAAGGUGUCCUGUCAGGUUUCUGGGUACGCCCUGACAGACUACGGCACAAGCUGGAUGCGGAAGCGUCCGGGGAACGCCAUGGAGUGGAUGGGAAUCAUGUGGGGAGGGGGAAGCAUUGAUUCUCCAGCAUCAUUCAAGAGCCGGUUCACCAUCUCCAGAGACAGCAGCAACGUGCUUUACUUGGAUAUUAGCAGCCUGCAGACUGAGGACACAGCUGUGUAUUACUGUGCCCGACGCACACAGUGCAGCAAAGCAACGCUAGAGCUGUACAAAAACCCACACUGA